CCAGAUAUGCUCACUGUUUAUUCCAGUACUCAGCCAAAAACCUAAAUAUCAUUUAAAUUAUAAAUACAUAAUGCAAAUAUAAUGGCACAAAAAUGUCUAAAGUGCAACCAAAUCACAAGAGAAGAAUCAUGCAAACUGGUCUAGGUCAGCCCCCCAAAUCACUCUGUGCAGCAAACACAAGACAAAGCUUUGGAAGUUGAAGGGGGAAUUGGAGGGAGUAGGAUGGAGG
rnacentral:lncRNA from 1 species